GGCGGCCCGGGGAGCGUCCGCCAAGUGCGGCCGCGGCGGCGGGCGCGGGGCGGGCAGGGAGCGUCGGGAAAGGGACGGGAGCGAGGGAAAGGGACGGGAGCGAGGGAGAGGGACGGGAGCGAGGGAGAGGGACGGGAGCGAGGGAGAGGGACGGGAGCGUCGGUAAAGGGAAGGGAGCGAGGGAAAGGGACGGGAGCGUCGGGAAAGGGACGGGAGCGUCGGGAAAGGGACGGGAGAGUCGGGAAAGGGACGGGAGCGUCGGGAAAGGGACGGGAGCGUCGGGAAAGGGACGGGAGCGAGGGAAAGGGACGGGAGCGAGGGAAAGGGACGGGAGCGCGGGACGGGAGCGAGGGAAAGGGACGGGAGCAGAACCGAAAGGGCGCGGAGCCUGCCGGUACCGGGAACGGCGGCCUGAGAGGCACCGCACCGGGGUCAUCGGUACCGGGAACGACGGCGACAGGGAUCAGUGUGAUCAGUAUUGGAAACGGGGGCCAAAAAGGGAUCAAUGUGAUCAGUAUUGGAAACGGGGGCCAAAAAGGGAUCAAUGCGAUCAGUAUUGGAAACGGGGGCCAAAAAGGGAUCAAUGUGAUCAAUAUUGGAAAUGGGGGCCAAAAAGGGAUCAAUGUGAUCAGUAUUGGAAACAUAGCGUCAAAAAGGGACCACAUUGGUGUGAUUGAUAUUACAAACAGGGGCCAAAAAGGGGAUCAGCAUGAUCAGUAUUGGAAGUGGAGUGUCAAAAAGGGAUCAAUGUGAUCAGUAUUGGAAAUGGGGGCCAAAAAGGGACCACAUCAGGGUGAUCAGUAUUGGAAAUUGAGGCUAAAAGGGGACUGCAUCAGAGUGAUCAGUAUUGGAAAUGGAGUGUCAAAAAAGGACCAGAUUGGUGUGAUCAGUAUUGGAAAUGGGGACCAAAAACGGAUCAAUAUGAUCAAUAUUAGCAGCGGAGUGUCAAAAAUGGAUCAAUGUGAUCAAUAUUGGAAACUGUGCUAGGAAGGAGGACAUAGGUGUGAUCAGUAUUGGGAACAGUGGCCAAAAAGGGCUGAUAUAUCGAUGUGGAUCAAUAUUGGAAACAGGGGCCAAAAAGUGACUGUCAGUGUGGUGAGUAUUGGAAAUGGGGGCCAAAAAUGUGAUCAAUAUUGGAAAGGAGGUGCCAAAAAGGGACCUCAUCAAUGUGCAUCAGUAUCAAAAAUGGGGUGCACAGGGGAG
rnacentral:lncRNA from 1 species